GCCGUUUCACCCUAGGUCUCUAUGUAGGGGAUAGGGUGCCGUUUCACCCUAGGUCUCUAUGUAGGGGAUAGGGUGCCGUUUCACCCUAGGAUCUUGUUACAGUGAAACAGACGGAAGCUUUUUGAAAUAUAUUAGUCUUGUUAAGCCAAACAUUCUAAGUCAUAAUGUGGCACAAUUAUUUCCUAUUUUCAUGAAUUCCAAAACUGUAUAUGUUAUGUUUUAUUGUCAACAGGAAUGAGUAUUACUGUAAUUGUUAUUAUGAUUAUUGUUUAUGCCUAUUAUUAAUAUUAGUGGCAGGCCACUGGGUAACAUUGUAUGUUGAUAUCCCAAUGAAAUCUGUGCAAGAUAAUGAUGAAAUGUUUAUGAGUUUAAAAAUAAAUAAAAAGGAAGACUAUGUGUCAU